rnacentral:rRNA from 1 species
CUCCUGCAACGCAACCAAGUAUAGGAGGUCCAGCCUGCCCAGUGACUACAAGUUCAACGGCCGCGGUAUUUUGACCGUGCAAAGGUAGCGCAAUCACUUGUCUUUUAAAUAGAGACCUGUAUGAAUGGCUAAACGAGGGCUUAACUGUCUCCCCUUUCAAGUCAGUGAAAUUGAUCUACCCGUGCAGAAGCGGGUAUAAUACUAC